AGUGAACGCUGGCGGUAGGCCUAACACAUGCAAGUCGAACGGCAGCACAGGAGAGCUUGCUCUCUGGGUGGCGAGUGGCGGACGGGUGAGGAAUACAUCGGAAUCUACUCUGUCGUGGGGGAUAACGUAGGGAAACUUACGCUAAUACCGCAUACGACCUACGGGUGAAAGCAGGGGACCUUCGGGCCUUGCGCGAUUGAAUGAGCCGAUGUCGGAUUAGCUAGUUGGCGGGGUAAAGGCCCACCAAGGCGACGACCCGUAGCUGGUAUGAGAGGAUGAGCAGCCACACUGGAACUGAGACACGGUCCAGACUCCUACGGGAGGCAGCAGUGGGGAAUAGUGGACAAGGGGCGCAAGCCUGAUCCAGCCAUACCGCGUGGGUGAAGAAGGCCUUCGGGUUGUAAAGCCCUUUUGUUGGGAAAGAAAUCCAGCUGGCUAAUACCCGGUUGGGAUGACGGUACCCAAAGAAUAAGCACCGGCUAACUUCGUGCCAGCAGCCGCCGUAA
rnacentral:rRNA from 1 species